rnacentral:RNase_P_RNA from 2 species
CAAGUAGACCGGGUGGCCGCCCUGUAUUAGUACGGGGAGGAAAGUCCGAACUCCACCGAGCAGGGUGCUGGGUAACACCCAGGAGGGGUAACCCUACGGAAAGUGCCACAGAAACAUACCACCUAUCCCUUGAAAAACAAAGAGUGGCAAGGGAACAGGGCAAGGGUGAAAUGGUGAGGUAAGAGCUUACCAGCAGUCAGGUGACUGAUUGGCUGGGCAAACCCCACCUGGAGCAAGACCGAAUAGAAGGGCGAUAACCGCCCGGGAGAACUGUGGUUUUCUUUGGUUGCGGUUUAAGGUGCUCGGCCGAAGCCCUUGGGUUGGUCGCUUGACCCCAGCGGUAACACUGGGGCUAGAUGGAUGGCCACCACUCCACUUCGGAGUACAGAACUCGGCUUAUAGAUCUACUUGCUCC